GCUGCACUAUGUGGUAUAUGCCCAUAGCCCCAGUUACUCGGGAGGCUGAGGCAGGAGAAUCACUCGAGCCCAGGAGUUCUGGGCUAUAGUGUGCUAGCUAUGCCGAUUCGGUGUCUGCACAAUGUAAGACUUCAAUAUGGUAACCUCCCAAGUGCAGGAGACCACCAAGUUACCUAAGGAGGAGUGAACUGGCUCAGGUCAGAAACGGAGCAGUUCAAAACUCCCAUGCUGAUCAGUAGUGGGGUCUCGCCUGUGAAUAGCUACUGCAUUCCAGCCUGGGCAACAUACCAAGACCCUGUGUCUA
ensembl:misc_RNA Metazoa_SRP Metazoan signal recognition particle RNA